UGUAUCAGCUACAGGUGUAACUUACCUGCUGUGUUCGACAUUGGAUACAAUAUAGGACUCAAACUUGUUAUAACUUUCUACAACUGUAAGAUGGCAGCUCCGAAGAGCAGGAGGAAACUGCAUCCUCAGAUUUUGAAAGCACAUCUGACCAAACACAACGGAAGUUUGCUGCUCCCUUCAGAAGCCAUUACAGAAGAUCGUGACAGCGAUUUCUUCAAGAAAAUGGCUUCCAAACAUUCUCUCCGAGAAAAGGAUUUCUCCUGUCGCGUGUGCAUUAAUCUUCCGGGAUACUCUAAUCCUGUCAUGUAGCCACAGCUUUUGUAAAGUCUGUCUCAGUGAAAUCUGGAAACAAAAGGAUUCUCUGGAAUGUCCAAUUUGCAGCAGAAUAUCCUCAAAGGAAGAACCUCCUCGUAACCUAAUUGUAAAGGAACUGUGUGAGGCCUUCUUAGAGAAGAAUCGGAGAGAUUCAGCAGGGCCUGAGGGGCUCUGCUUUCUGCACCACGAUAAACUCAAACUCUUCUGUCUGAAUGAUAAACAGCCAGUGUGUUGUGUGUGUCAUACUUCUAAAAAUAAACAUGCAAACCACAAUUUCUGUCCCAUGGAUGAAGCUGCACAGGAUUUGAAGGAGGAACUCAAGACUUUAUUGAAGCCCUUACAGAAGAAGUUUGAGAUUUUCCAUAAAGUGAAACUAGCCUGCCAUCAAACAGUAACCCAUAUUAAAGCUACAAGCAGAGGACACAGAAAGGCAGAUUAAAGGGGAGUUUGAGAAGAUACACCAGUUGCUUCGAGAGGACGAGGAGGCCAGGUUAGCUACUCUGAAGGAAGAAGAGGAGCAGAAGAGUGACUUGAUGAAGAAGAUUGAUGAGAUGAUCGGAGGGUUAUCAUCACUUUCAGACACAAUCAAAGCAAUAGAGGAGCUGAAGGCAGAAGAUAUCUCAUUCCUUCAGAGCCCAGUGCACACUGCCGGAUCCAGAGAGGGUUUCAGGAGCACGGAUCCAUGUGGCCAAGCACCUUGACAACCUGCACAGAUUUUGUGGGAAGAUGCAGGACAUUGUUGAAGUGUUUGCUCACUAUACUACCGUGACUCUGGAUCCCAAGACUGCCCACCCAUCUCUCAUCUUGUCUGAUGAUCUGACCACUGUGAGACUUGGUGAUGGGACGCAGAAGCAUCCUGACAACCCAGAGAGGUUUUAUAACAAUAGACUGGUCCUGGGCUCUGACGGCUUUAACUCAGGGACACACAUCUGGGAUGUUGAGGUUGGGAACAGUGUAGACUGGACCCUGGGUGUGGUUACAGAGACUGUCCGGAGGAAGGGAGGAAUACGCAGUGGACUCUGGGGUCUAAAUUAUAAAUCAGGUGAAUACAGGGCAUAUUCCCUACCAAAUUCAAUCAUUCCCUUCAAGUUGGGCCAGAGACCCCAGAGGAUCCAGUGCAGCUGGACUGGGACAGAGGAAAGCUGUCAUUCUAUGACCCUUUAACACCUACACACAUUCACACACACUUUCACUCAGAGAGUUUUUCCCUGCCUUGGUAAUCAAUGUAAACACUAGCCUCUAAAGACCUUGCCAUGGCCUCUGUAACAGUGGAACAACAUAGUUAGAGCUGAUAGGCCUCUUGUCUAGGAACAGCACAGAUAGAGCUGAUAAGGAAGUUAUAAUGUCUCAUAUCACAACUUUAAAGGUGAAAUAUGUAACCUAUUGGGCGACCUGACCAACUUCACAUAGAAUGGUAAGUGUUAGAUCUGCAAUUCUCAUUGAAGGAAAGUCUAAGAAGCGGAAGAGCUGUUCUUUGUGCGCUACUUCUAUGCUUCCUGUUCCUAAGUUUAGUUUUUGUAUCUUUUACUUGUACACCAACUUCAAACAGCUGAAAACACAAUAUUUUUGGUUAUGAAAAGAUAUUUCACAGCGGUUGAGAUGGUACAAUUGUUCUCUACACUGUACAUUGCUUGUUUUGUCACAUAAACUGAAAUUAGGCGAAAUAUUUCGAAUUUUGGCAACUAGGAAAUGGGAGAACGAUUUCUGCACUUUGCGCCUUUAAAUCGAGCGCCUACUGAUAUUAUAAAGAAUUGACUGAUUUGAACUUGAUGCUUAAACUGUUGAUAAAGCACAAGACUAAAACUGACACCUAGUCCAAAUGUAGUCGAGUAUAAUCACGUUUCUUAUUUGUAUUAUAUAAGAUUGAUUUGUUAAUGAUUUGCUCUUAUUGCCUUUAAGUAUAUGACCAAUUGCAUGGAAACACAAAGCCACACUGUAACUGUCAUUCCCUAUUACAGGAUUCAACCAAAUACAUUCUAUUGUUUUGUUUUGUUUGGUCUAUGAGAGUGGAAUAAACACAGUUAAAGUUGAUGCUGUUUUACCGGAACGUUUCAUUCACCCACUAGCCUAACCCACUUCCACGAUUCCAUCUUCUCAAAACUAGUAUAGCAUACUUAUCGACACAAAGUUUCUUCAGAAAUAUGUGCUUUUCCAGUUUAGACCGGUGGUGGUAGGAAAGUCUACAGCUUGCAGAGGGAGAUAGAGAGUCACUGGCCAGGGUCAGGCAAGGGUCACCAAUAACUCUCAGUUAGAGAGGAAUAUUCAGUAAAUAAAGAAUAUUUGGCUCAACCUAACUGUGCUGAAUUCAAGGAUGUUGCAUUGGAAUGUCCCAACGUUUAUUUCCACCUCUGAUGUGUUUGUGAUAAGUCAUCAAGGCAUAAAAUACUAAACAAUACAUGGGACUGGCUUUGUAGAACUGUGAAUUCUGUCCUGGGUAAAGGCUCUCACACUGUAGAAUUCAGCUUGUAUCAGCUGCAGGUGUAAUUCACCUGCGGUGUUCGACAUUGUAUACGAUAUAGGAAUCAAAGUUAUUCUAACUUUUGUGUUAUGACUACAAGAUAGCAACUCCCAAGAGAAAGAUAAAACUGCACCAAUAUGAGAUUUGAAAGCACACCUGGCUAAACAAGACUGAAGUAUACUGCUCCCUUCAGACACAGUCAGAGCCGUAGAGGAGCUGAAAGCAGAAGGGAUCCCAUUCUUGCAGAACUACAAGACCUACUGUAGAAAAGGCCCAUGGACCUGACACGUGACCACCUGUUCACCUUCACUGUCAGUCAUCCUACCUGUCCAGCUACCCACACAGAUUCCACUAAUCUUUCACCUACAGCGAAAGCAAGAGUCCAGUGCACAUUGCCGGAUCCAGAGAGAGUUUCAGGAGCACUGAUCCAUGUGGCCAAGCACCUUGACAACCUGAUUCUGUGGGAAAAGUGUGUGUUUUCUCAAUACACUGUGAUGUUGAAUCAACGUGGAAAACUGAUUGGAUUUGCAAAAAGUCAUACAUUGAUUUUUACCCACACACCGCUACUGUUCUGGACUCCAAGACUGGCCACCCAUCUCUACAUUUGUCUUAGGAUUUGACCAGUGUGAGACUUGGGCAUGGGACAUAUCAGCUUCUUGACAAUGCAGAAUGGUUCUGGGCACUGAGGGCUUUAACUCCGGGACAAACAACUGAGAUGUUGAGGUUGGGGACAGUAUAUACUGGUUCCUGUGUGUGAUCACAGAGUCUGCCCCGAGGAAAGGAGUCAUACCCAGUAGAUUCGUGUUUUAUAUUACAAUGGAGCUUUUUCUGACUACUCAGAGGAAUCCCCACCAAAGCCAGACAGACACCACAGAGGAUCAGAGAGCAGCUGGACAUGGACAGAAGAAAGACCCUAUUAAAAACGCACAUUCACAGAAACUUUAACCCGAGACCGUCUUUCCCUGCUUUUCUCAUGUCUGUGAAUGCCAGCCUCUAAAGAUCUUGCCAUGGCCUCUAUAAAAUAACAGCACAAAGAGCGGAUAAUGUCUCUUACUAUUUUUAUUCAUUUGAACUUCAUGCUAAAAUGUCUUCCGCCUAUCAAUGGAACAGCAGUAUAUGGUAAUGUCUUACCAAAGCACCACAUCAACCUACAAUCCUAACCCACUAUGACAACCCCAUUAUUUAAUGUUCUCUCAAUAGUGAAACAGAACUGUUGCAAGCAUGAGAUGUUUCUUCAGAAGUGCUGUGUUGUAGGUACAUUAUGUAGAUGGAGCCUGUAGAGGGAGAUGGAGUCGCAGGCCAGGGGGCAGAGCCAAUAGCCCAGCAGUAAUCAAUGCUUAACCCACUUAUGGUUUUCUAUCAUGUGGUCAAUAUAUACAUUCUCCAAGUUGAAGAAUCUCAACAAUGUUAAGGAUUCGAUGCAAACAAUUGCACAAGACAAUAAGGGUCUGUCUUUCUAGAAUGAAAAUGGAUAUUACAUUUACUAAUUGUAUCAUAUUACUAAUGGUUGAAAAAGUACUUAUUUGUCAUACUUGAGUAAAAGUAAAGAUAACUUGGUAGAAAUUUACUCAAGUAAAAGUGAGUCACCCAGUAAAAUCCUAAUUGAGUCAAAGUAUUUUGUUUUAAAUAUACUUAAGCAUCAAAAGUAAGUGUAAUAGCUCAAAUAUACUUAAGUAUCAAAAGAAAAACUAUAAAUCAUUUCAUAUUCCUUAUAUUAAACAAGCCAGACGGAACCAUUUUCUGGUCUUUUUUUUAAAUGUAUGGAUAGCCAGGGGUACACUCCAACACUCAGACAUCAUUUACAAACAAUGCAUGUGUGUUUAGUGAGUCCGCCAGAUCAGAGGCAGUAGGAAUGACAGGGGAUGUUCUCUUGAAUUGGACAAUUUUCCAUUCCUGCAAAGCAUUCAAAAUGUAACAAGUACUUUUGGGUGUCAGGUAAUAUGUAUGGAGUAAAAAGUACAUUAUUUUCUUUAGUAAUGAAGUAAAAGUCGAAGUUUUCCUAAAUAUAGAUAGUAAAGUACAGAUACCUGAAAAAACUACAUAAGAAGUAUUUUUACUUAAGUACUUUACACCACUGCAUAUUACAAAUCAUUAUUAAUUCAACAGCUAAAUGUAAAAUAAAUCUAAUGAUAUUGCCAGAGUGAGGUGAAAAAAAAAUAAGUUAUGACAGUUUAUGACAAAAUAGAUGUCUCUUUGGUUUCACUCUAAAUUCAAGUUCAAGUCCAAUGUAAGGAGUUAACGAGAAACUUAAUAGGCUACAGAUACAUCCUUCCUAUCUCCAUCUGCGGUUGAAGUUUCUUCACUCCCAAGUUCACUUAACACAUGUAACACAAUAAAGGAGGUAUU